AUGAACGCUAGCGGCGUGCCUAAUACAUGCAAGUCGCGCGAACGGACGAGAAGCUUGCUUCUCUGAUGUUAGCGGCGGACGGGUGAGUAACACGUGGAUAACCUACCUAUAAGACUGGGAUAACUUCGGGAAACCGGAGCUAAUACCGGAUAAUAUUUUGAACCGCAUGGUUCAAAAGUGAAAGACGGUCUUGCUGUCACUUAUAGAUGGAUCCGCGCUGCAUUAGCUAGUUGGUAAGGUAACGGCUUACCAAGGCAACGAUGCAUAGCCGACCUGAGAGGGUGAUCGGCCACACUGGAACUGAGACACGGUCCAGACUCCUACGGGAGGCAGCAGUAGGGAAUCUUCCGCAAUGGGCGAAAGCCUGACGGAGCAACGCCGCGUGAGUGAUGAAGGUCUUCGGAUCGUAAAACUCUGUUAUUAGGGAAGAACAUAUGUGUAAGUAACUGUGCACAUCUUGACGGUACCUAAUCAGAAAGCCACGGCUAACUACGUG
rnacentral:rRNA from 1 species